UCGCGGCUUAUCACCGGCAGUCCCCUUAGAGUGCCCAACUUAAUGAUGGCAACUAAAGAUGAGGGUUGCGCUCGUUGCGGGACUUAACCCAACACCUCACGGCACGAGCUGACGACAGCCAUGCAGCACCUCGAUUAGUGUCCCUUGCGGGAAAAGGAUGUUUCCACCCCUGUCACUAGCCGUUCGAGCCCAGGUAAGGUUCUUCGCGUUGCGUCGAAUUAAACCACAUGCUCCACCGCUUGUGCGGGCCCCCGUCAAUUCCUUUGAGUUUCAGCCUUGCGGCCGUACUCCCCAGGCGGGGCACUUAAUGCGUUAGCGCCGGCACUCAGAGGGUCGCUCCCCCAAGCACCUAGUGCCCAUCGUUUACGGCGUGGACUAC
rnacentral:misc_RNA from 1 species